rnacentral:lncRNA from 1 species
GGAAAUAUAUGGUCAAGAGUAGAGAUCCUUUCUUCCUUUCAAUCCUGUUACUUGGAGUUUUUGUAUAUUUUUGAAAAGAAAUUUAGCAUACCUUUAUCCUCAUAGGUACUCUUAGAUCACUCAUUUAUCUUUUAUAUAUCUCACUGAGGCUGUUUUAAUUUGCAAAAAUUCUCAAGCAUACUUACCUUGUAUUUAUUGCCUGAUCAAAACGGGAUCCGAGGAGAGGAAUGCCAUACUCUUAGAUCAAAGACUUUGGAAAUUAAAAACUUGUCAACUCUUACUGGCAUAUUGCUUAUUAGAGGGACUAUGGGCUAUCAUUUCUUUCUUUUUCUAUCUUUUAUUUUCUUUUUCAGGUGGAUACCGAGGUACCCCUAAUUCUACUGCCGGACACUUGUCCAUUUUUUUCUUGCGAGGUUAUCGAGCACUUGCUCCUUUUUAUUUCCUCAAAAUAUCCUUAUUUUUGCAUAGCCCAUGCCUCUAACGCAAUAAUACUUCGGAAGAGUGAAUCUUUCUGAAUAAAUGUCUUGAUCUUAGGAGCAUGAUAAAUCUCUCAACAAGGGUCUAACUCAUUUUGAACAAACUCAAUACAGAGUAGAUAGAUUUUAUAAUUAUCAUGUUAAUAUUUUUAGGUUUAUCAGGCAUAUAAAACACUGAGGAUGAUAGCUAGAAUUUUUGAAUAAAUUCUCCAAGCAACAAUGAUAUCAAGAAUAAGAUACUCAUACUCUACUAUCUCACAUUCCACAAUGACUUAAGUAACACAGGUUUUAAAUUGAUUUUUUCAUAAUUUCAGAUUGUCAGGAAAUAUCACAGAGUGAGAUUAAUCAUGAUUAGAAACAUUUUAAUCUUUUUAAUUUAUCAUGUUGGAGACAAUAUUCUGUAUAUUCCAAGAUAUAAAGUGUGCAGAGUAUGUACCUGAAUCGUGGAGUGGUAUAGUCGGAGUGUGUUUGGCGUGUCGAGGGAUCUCCCCCAUACUUGCUUUCUGCUUUCUUGUAUAAAAAUAAAGUAGAGACACACAAGACAUAAUAAUAAUAAUACUCUUUAUUAAUCCUGAGGCAUUUAUUACAAAUGACUAGUAGCAAACUGACGAUAACAGUAAAUCUAAACCGAAUUUAAAGAUAAAUAACUAAGAUGCAUUGCCUCAAGAUCUAAUCUAGAUAACUUAGCGGCGCUCUAACUCCCUGAUCUUCUUAUUGGCACUAGCAAGAUCAUGCC